UACGAAGGGGGCUAGCGUUGUUCGGAAUCACUGGGCGUAAAGGGCGCGUAGGCGGCUUUAUAAGUCGGUGGUGAAAGCCUGUGGCUCAACCACAGAAUUGCCUUCGAUACUGUAGAGCUUGAGACCGGAAGAGGUAAGUGGAACUGCGAGUGUAGAGGUGAAAUUCGUAGAUAUUCGCAAGAACACCAGUGGCGAAGGCGGCUUACUGGUCCGGUUCUGACGCUGAGGCGCGAAAGCGUGGGGAGCAAACAGG
rnacentral:rRNA from 1 species